rnacentral:rRNA from 1 species
UACGGGGGGAGCAAGCGUUGUUCGGAUUUAUUGGGCGUAAAGGGUGCGUAGGUGGCAAAGUAAGUUGGAUGUGAAAUCCUGGGGCUCAACCUCAGAAUUGCAUUCAAUACUGCUUAGCUAGAGAGCUGUAGAGGAGACUGGAAUUUACGGUGUAGCAGUGAAAUGCGUAGAUAUCGUAAGGAACGCCAGUGGCGAAAGCGAGUCUCUGGGCAGCAUCUGACACUGAGGCACGAAGGCCAGGGGAGCAAACGGG